rnacentral:rRNA from 1 species
CAGUAGCCGCGGUAAUACGAAGGGUGCAAGCGUUAAUCGGAAUUACUGGGCGUAAAGCGUGCGUAGGCGGUGAGUUAAGUCUGCUGUGAAAUCCCCGGGCUCAACCUGGGAAUGGCAGUGGAUACUGGCUCGCUAGAGUGUGUCAGAGGAUGGUGGAAUUCCCGGUGUAGCGGUGAAAUGCGUAGGGAUCGGGAGGAACAUCAGUGGCGAAGGCGGCCAUCUGGGACAACACUGACGCUGAGGCACGAAAGCGUGGGGAGCAAACAGGAUUAGAUACCCCAGUAGUCCCUGUCUCUUAUAC